CGGGACAGCUGGUGUUGUGAAUCAGGCCGCCACAAUCAAAGGAACGGCUACUUCCCAACACCAGGGUCUCA
rnacentral:pre_miRNA from 1 species